rnacentral:sRNA from 2 species
AUUAAUAAUUAGCCUAAUCCAUACUUUGUAUGGAGCGGGGGAUAAAUUUUGGGGUGAAUCCGCUUUAGAAUUUUCUAAAGCGGUAGGGUUUGCUCUUUACCGAACCCGUCAACUAACCUCGUAGGCUAAAAGAGAAAGGAUGG